ensembl:lncRNA
UUUUUUUUUUUUUUUUUUUUUGAGAUGGAGUUUCACUCUUGUUGCCCAGGCUGGAGUGUAGUGCCACGAUCUCAGCUUACUGCAAGCUCCACCUUCUGAUUUCAAGUGAUUCUCCUGCCUGAGUUUCCUGAGUAGCUGGGAUUACAGGUGUCCACCACCAUACCUGGCUAAUUUUUGUGUUUUUAGUAGAGAUAGAGUUUCACCAUAUUGGCCAGGCUGGUCUUGAACUCCAGACCUCAUGAUCUGCCAGCCUCAGCCUCCCAAAAUGCUGGGAUUACAGGCAUGAGCCACCACGCCUGGCCUUUUUUUUUUUUAUUUUAAGGAGCUAAGUUUCUCCUGUAUCUUAAACAGACAGCCAUCAUCGUGUAGUCUAUGUUCAUCAUUGACUCAGUUCUAGGUUACCAAUGUUGCUGGAAACAAUGGAGAUAACAUCAAAAAUCCUACCUAGCAGAAAACUAUACCUUAUGGAUGGUGCUUUAAAUCUUUUAAAAUUACGUGGGCAAGUCAAAUUAGAAAUAAGCCAGGCACAGUGGCUUACACCUAUAAUACCAGUGCUUUAAGAGGCCAAGGCCAGAGCAUCUCUUGAGGCCAUGAAUUCAAGAUCAGCCUGGGCAACAUAGUAAGAUUCCAUUUCUACAGAAAAGAAAAAUAAAAAACAAAAUUAGCUGGGAAUGGUGGUGUGUACCUGUAGUCUAAGCUACUUGGGAAGCUGAGGUAGCAGGAUCCUUUGAGCUAGGGAGCUUGAGGUUACAGCGAGCUAUGAUCAUGCCACUGCACUCCAGCCUGGGUGAUGGAGACAGUGCCUCUUGAAAAGAUCUUUUAAUUACUUGCUAUUGCACUUAAUAUUAAAAACAACAUGCAUCUUGGACUCUAAAAUAUAUUUCCUGAAGGGUAUCAUUUUUAUUCUUUGCCAGAGGCACCUGUCAAAAACCUCUAAAGAGAUUUCACCAACUUGUUUUCACUGGAACCAUUCGGAGGAGGCUGGGGAGUGCCACUGUGAACAGUUUAGACAGAGCUCUUAAGGGAAGCCUCAUAGUAGUUAGACAGAACAUUCCCAUCCUAGGCAUUUCUCCUGCUCCCUCACUAAUCAGCGGCAGCACCCCCUGCUCUCUGGGGUUGGGGUUGGGGUUGGGAUUGGGGGUUUGCUGGCUAAGCUGCCUCUGCUGCAGUGUUACUACAUUCUUCUCUUCUCCUGGCCACCAAGCAGCCCAAAUAUGGCUGCAGGCAGAAGCCAAGGAAACCUUCAUGCCCAGAUGAACCAGAGAGAUGCGGGUGGGAUGGGCCUAGUGGAAUCCAUCUCUUCUGCAGUCCCGAAAAGGCACAGGGCUACUGCCAUCCCAGAUGCCAAAGGGAGAAAAUAGAGCCAACCUCAGAGCAAAGCGGUGGCUGCUCUCUGGCUCUGGAUCUGAAGCGCGAGAAAGAAGAGACAGAUGCCAGAUGACACACAGACCUGGCCAGAUCUAAGCCAAUGAAGCAGGGCCUCAACUAAGCUGGGAACAAACGGAGAGUCCCGAGAAAAGUGUUUUUGUUUUAGUUUGUGUGUGUGUGUGUGUG